rnacentral:rRNA from 1 species
AGUUUGAUCCUGGCUCAGGAUGAACGCUAGCGGCAGGCCUAAUACAUGCAAGUCGGACGGGAUAGGAGAGCUUGCUUUCCUUGAGAGUGGCGCACGGGUGCGUAACACGUAUGUAACCUACCUUUAUCUGGGGGAUAGCCUCUCGAAAGAGAGAUUAAGACCGCAUAACAUAAUGAAACAGCAUUGUUUUAUUAUCAAAUAUUUAUAGGAUAAAGAUGGGCAUGCGGAACAUUAGCUAGUUGGUACGGUAACGGCGUACCAAGGCGACGAUGUUUAGGGGAUCUGAGAGGAUGACCCCCCACACUGGUACUGAGACACGGACCAGACUCCUACGGGAGGCAGCAGUAAGGAAUAUUGGUCAAUGGGCGAAAGCCUGAACCAGCCAUGCCGCGUGCAGGAAGACGGCCCUAUGGGUUGUAAACUGCUUUUGUACCGGAAUAAACCUUUCUACGUGUAGGAAGCUGAAUGUACGGUAAGAAUAAGGAUCGGCUAACUCCGUGCCAGCAGCCGCGGUAAUACGGAGGAUCCGAGCGUUAUCCGGAUUUAUUGGGUUUAAAGGGUGCGUAGGCGGCCUUGUAAGUCAGGGGUGAAAGACGGCAGCUCAACUGUCGCAGUGCCUUUGAUACUGCAGGGCUUGAAUACACUUGAAGUAGGCGGAAUGUGACAAGUAGCGGUGAAAUGCAUAGAUAUGUCACAGAACACCGAUUGCGAAGGCAGCUUACUAAAGUGUGAUUGACGCUGAGGCACGAAAGCGUGGGGAUCAAACAGGAUUAGAUACCCUGGUAGUCCACGCCCUAAACGAUGAAUACUCGAUGUUGGCGAUAUACGGUCAGCGUCUAAGCGAAAGCGUUAAGUAUUCCACCUGGGGAGUACGCCCGCAAGGGUGAAACUCAAAGGAAUUGACGG